AGUUGGGGGUGGAAAGAGUCUGAGAGGGGGUUCAAGGGCGGGUGGAGGGGGUCCACAGGGCAAGAGGGGUGCAGGAGCUGGGUCAAAGGACAGAUAAGGAGGUCAAGACAGCCUCAGAGUUCAGGGUCCUAACCGGGAUGAGCCAGAGUUGUGUGCGGGAGAGGAGAGGGGGAGACAGGACAGGGAGCGACCAAGAUAAUUCCAUCGAAAAAGACGCAGACUAGGACUAGGAAGAGAAGCUGGUAGGAAUCUCGGGGGUUGAGUAGAAAAAAAAAUUUUUUUUGAAUUCUGAUGGAAGUGGGGGAAAGAAGAUGCUGUAGGACUCCGAAGAGAGGUGCAUCGGGAAUGGAAGCCGAGGGGAGAGAGAGCGAUUGAGCCCGGUUACAGAGAGGCACAGAUGAGUUGGCAGGAAGCUGGCUUCCCAGCAACGGGCUCCAGGCUGCGCGGAUUCCUCAGGGAUCCUAAGGAAGCCACUUAACCCCACAUGUGGCCUUAUUCUUCUGGGGCCAGGCCUUGGGCUAACUCUUUAAUAGGAAAUGACCCAGAAAUCAUGGCUCGAUGGUGCCUAGAUGGGCUUUCCAACGGCCCUACCAUUCCAUGGCGAGGACUGUGGAGAUUGGGCUCCCUAUACUAUGUACACAGAGUCCUGAGCUGCAGGGAUCGUAGACACAUAAGGAGGAAGGGGAACAUAGGUGAUUGGAGACAAGAUCUAGAGGAUUCAUAUAACAGGGAGAUGUUGCCACCAUCAGGUUUUGCUGGGCUGGUUCCUCCCUCCCACUUCCAAGCUCGGCCCCUUCCAACUCUUCCAAGAAUGGGCCCAUCCUGGGCUUCAGACGUUCCUUUGGUCCAAUCUGCAGCCAGCCAAGAUGUCUUAGAGAGACGGCUAGAUGCUCAGAGGACAGUGACCAUGUGGGGACAGGAUUUCUGUGGAGAAGGGCAGGGGCUAGGGCGGAGAGGCAGGUCUCUGGAGCUGGGGGUCUCUGGUGCCCUGAGCCAGCAGGCUGAGCUGAUCUCUCGACAGCUCCAAGAGUUGCGGCGGCUGGAGGAGGAAGUCCGGUCCCUACGGGAGACCUCCCUGCAGCAGAAGAUGAGGUUAGAGACUCAGGCCAUGGAGCUGGAUGCCCUUGCAGUGGCCGAGAAGGCCGGGCAAGCUGAGGCUGAGGGCCUGCGCACAGCCUUGGCCGGAGCCGAAAUGGUUCGGAAGAACCUGGAAGAGGCAAAGCAGAGGGAGUUGGAGGAGAUUCAGAGUCUGCACCAAGAGCAGCUGUCCUCCCUGACGCAGGCUCACCAGAAGGCUCUCGACAGUCUGACCAGCAAGGCCGAGAGCUUGGAGAAGUCUCUCAACAGCCUGGAAAUGAAACGGGCAGGGGAAGCCAAGCAGCUGGCUAUGGCCCAGAAGGAGGCUGACCUGCUUAGGAGCCAACUGAGUAAGACCCAAGAAGAGCUGGAAGCUCAGGUGACCUUGGUCGAAAGUCUGAGGAAGUAUGUGGGGGAGCAAGCCCCUCCUGAGGCUCCUAGCCAGGCGUGGGAGCUGGAACGGAAGAAGCUUCUAGACACCUUGAAGCACUUGAAGGAGGACCGGGCUGACCUUCAGGCCACUGUGGAGCUACUGCAGGUACGAGUACAGAGCCUCACACACAUGCUCGCCCUGCAGGAAGAGGAGCUGACCCGGAAGAUCCAGCCUUUAGAUCCCUUGGAGCCCGAGUUUCCGAAGAAGUGCCGCUCGCUGCUGCGCGGCUGGCGGGAGAAGGUGUUUGCCCUCAUGGUGCAGCUCAAAGCCCAGGACCUGCAGCACAGGGAGUCCACGACGAGGCUGAGGGAACAGGUGGCACAGCUGCAGGAACAAGCGACCGCCCAAAGCCAGGAGCAGGCCAUCUUGCAGCGUGCCCUGCAAGACAAAACUGCACAGGUGGAGGUGGAGCUGAUGAGCAUCAAGACCCUGCAGAUGGAGCUGAAUCAGGCUCAGGAGGCCAGGCGGAGGCAGGAACAGCAGACAGCCUCCGCUGAGGAGCAGCUGAAGUUUGUGGUCAGCGCUAUGAACAGCACUCAGGCCAAACUCCAGAGCACCAUGACCAGGGUGGAUCAGGCCGUAGCCCGGAUUCCCAGCCUCAGCAACCGGCUCAGCUAUGCUGUCCGUAAGGUCCACACCAUUAAGGGUCUGAUGGCUCGAAAGGUGGCUCUUGCUCAGCUGCGCCUGGAGAGAUGUCCUCCGUCCGAACCUGCACCCCCACUGGAUACAUACCUGAGCCUUGAGCUGGAGCAGCUUCGGGAAGAGCGGAACCGCCUGGACGCAGAGCUGCAGCUGAGCGCCCACCUCAUCCAGCAGGAGGUGGGCCGGGCACGGGAACAAGGGGAGGCAGAGCGCCGGCAGCUGACUGAGGUGGCCCAGCAGCUGGAGCAGGAGCUGCAGCGCGCCCAGGAAUCCCUGGCCAGCGUUGGGCAGCAGUUGGAGGCAGCCCGUCAGAGCCAGCAGGAGAGCACAGAGGAAGCUGCCAGCCUCCGGCAGGAGCUGACCCAGCAGCAGGAGAUCUACGGGCAAGCUCUGCAAGAGAAGGUGGCCGAGGUGGAAACCCGGCUUCGGGAGCAGCUCUCAGACACAAAGAGGAGGCUGAACGAUGCCCGGAGGGAGCAGGCCAAGGCCGAUCCAGCACAAAGCCACUCGGGAAAAGGAGCGCAACCAGGAGCUCAGGCGGCUGCAGGAGGAGGCCCGGAAGGAAGAGGGACAGCGGCUGGCCCGGCGAGUGCAGGAGCUAGAGCGGGACAAGAACCUCAUGCUGGCCACCUUGAAGCAGGAGGGUCUCCUCUUGCGUUACAAGCAGCAGCGCCUGUUAGCAGUGCUUCCCUCUGAAGUGGGUAAGAAGUGCAGCCCCCGGCCUGUAGAGCCCCCAGCACCUCAGUCUCCUGCAGCUUCACCGCCCAAGGAAUCUAUGAAAGGCUCCCUGACUGUCCUGCUUGAUAACCUGCAAGGCCUGAGCGAGGCCAUUUCCAGAGAUGAAGCUAUUUAUCUGGAAGAUAACCAGAACACCAAGAGCCCUCCAGAUCCACUGCUGAUCCGGAGCUUCCGGGAGGGGGAGUGAAGUCGGCCUGGAGCUGGACCCCCCAGGAGGGUUGGGUGGGAGGACAUGGGGCGGGGGCCAGCCUAGCCCUGCUCCCCAGCAAGUCUUGAGACUCCAGCUUCCACCAAGUUCAAACUCUGCAAUGAAUAAAGAUGGCUAUAGUGGAGUCGUUGCCUGGAGAUGUCUAGGAGACUGGGAUUCUCCCUGAAGCCAGCUCCUGAGGCAGGGCCUGUGAGAAGCUUGUCCCCCUACCCCUGCCCUUCCUCUGGGGGGUAACCUCUUUUCAAACCUCUUUUCUAACUGCUCUGGAAGUGUUCUGAGAAGCUUCCAGGUUGUUUUGUUUUGACUUUUGAGACAUAGCCCUUGGAUG